AUUAGAAACACAGUAUCAAAGGCUGGCUUGAUUUGUUGGAUUCAAACCCAUAAACUACAAAUAGGCAGGCAGAUGAGUCACAGUCAGAUCUCGCAAGAACCAGCACAGGCGUGGACUGUCAGUGUGGACGGGGAGGACGGCGAAGCAGAAGAUUUAUGCAGUGGAGGAAACCAAGAAGUCUGUUCUGGUGGAUGGAGGGAAGAAAACCCUGUUAAGGUUUCCCAGAGACUAUGGGUUGAGGAGGAAGUGGAAGUUUGUCAGCUUAGACCUGGUGUCAUUCCAUCAGUGUUUAACUUCCCGGCUCAUCUUGGAAGAGUAUGUGCCAGAAAGACCACAAACAAGCAGCCUUGAGAUGUUAGACAGCGUCUCCCUGAGACUAAAGAACUACAGACUCUUCACAACCUGCUCAAACUCUUGGUACAGGACCUCACCACACGGGUCAAGAAGGUUUCUGUCUCAUUUCUACUCUGAAGCUCACCUUCUCCUGCUCAAACUGCUGACAAAUGUUUCUGCUGCUCUAAAGUCUGGUCUCCAGAACUUCCUAAAAACUCUCAAAGUCUCUUCUGCUGCAGGUUGCUUUGUAGAACUGUUCCAGAAAACCUCACUAAACCACACGGAGGGGCCUCAAGAUAGUCGUCC
ensembl:lncRNA